GGAAGUGUAGCUCAAGUAGGCAGAGCAUCCGGCUUUUACCCGGGCGGUUGGGAGUUCGAGGCUCCCCACUUCCACCA
rnacentral:tRNA from 1 species